GCCGGGUGCAGUGGUGCACACCUGUCAUCCCAGCGGCUCGGGAGGCUGAGGCAGGAGGAUCGUAAGUUCAAAGCCAGCCUCAGCAACUUAGCAAGGCCCUAAGCAACUCAGUGAGACCUUGUCUCUA
rnacentral:sRNA from 1 species